rnacentral:lncRNA from 1 species
UUGAGUUUGAGAUAAUCGGAUUUUCAAUGUCUUUCUUUUUUAUAGUAAUUGUAUUUGCCUUUCUUCUUUUUAGAUUUUGAUCUACCUCGAUUGCUUCUUGAAUUUAAAUCUGAAUUUUUUUCUUUUGAUUUUCUCUAGCAACCAGACCAUCCAUCUAAUUUUUAUCCUAAAUUUUAGAUUUUUUUUAACUCUUUCGAGUUCAAUGAAGCUCUCAUGUCUUCUAUAGAAAGAGU